rnacentral:rRNA from 1 species
AUUGAACGCUGGCGGCAGGCCUAACACAUGCAAGUCGAACGAGUGGCGGACGGGUGAGUAAUGUCUGGGAAACUGCCCGAGGGAGGGGGAUAACUACUGGAAACGGUAGCUAAUACCGCAUACCAUCGGAUGUGCCCAGAUGGGAUUAGCUAGUAGGUGGGGUAACGGCUCACCGAGACGACGAUCCCUCGCUGGUCUGAGAGGAUGACCCGCCACACUGGGACUGAGCAACGGCCCAGACUCCUACGGGAGGCAGCAUUGGGGAAUAGUUCACAAUGGGCGCAAGCCUGAUGCAGCCAUGCCGCGUGUAUGAAGAAGGCCUUCGGGUUGUAAAGUACUUUCAGUCGGGAGGCGUUACCGACAGAAGAAGCACCGGCUAACUCCGUGCCAGCAGCCGCGGUAAUUC